ensembl:lncRNA
AGCCCUGUGGUCUAGAGGCUGAAGGUUAGGACCAGAAGAGUGGAGGGUCUGAUGGGCAAAGACAACUCUUAGUAUUUUAAAUCUGAGACACUCUAGUCUUUGUUAUUUUUCUAUUUAAACAGUUAUUUUUAAACAACACAGCUUGAUAACCUGAGGUUUCUAAAAAUUGCACCAAUUGAGUUACAGAAUAGAUACCACCCCCGAUCAGGAAGAGGUAGUGGCAACAAAGACUGAAAAGAUACAUUAGAGCCAGAUCGUGGAGGUCCUUUCAUUAUUUCAGUAAAUCUGUGUCCAAAGCCUUAGGUGCCAGGAACUGUGGAGUUUGAACUCUCUUCUGUAAGCAGCAAGGCGCUUGUAAGCAGAGGCAUUUCAGAGUAAGAGAAACUGCUGAAAAGUCACCAAUGUGACCGUCAGCUGUCGAGGCUGGAAGAGAAGCAACACACCCAUGUGCUAGAAAGGACUGCAGAGAAAUCUCUGGCUCAAAUCUGAGAGAGACAAGGCAGGGAAAGACCACUAAGGCAACCCGUCAGCUGAAAAAAGCCAGCGGACAGGCUUUGGUUUGUCAGAAUGGAUACACUGAAGGAUCACAGCCUUGACAGUAUGUAGUUGUGCAACCAUGCCGAUGAGGAUGCUGAGGCUGUGGGGGCCACUCAGCUGGAAAGUGAUGGAGCCUGGACGUGGACUGAACCCAGGCAAUGCCACUCCAGAACCCACCCUCAUUAACUUAACUGCCCAGUGCAGAGAAGCCCCUCAAAAUCCUUCUGUCUGGAACCACGUGCUGUGCUGUGCUUAGUCGCUCAGUCGUGUCCGACUCUUUGUGACCCCAUGGACUAUAGCCCGCCAGGCUCCUCUGUCCAUGGGGAUUCUCCAGGAAAGAAUACUGGAGUGGGUUGUCAUGCCCUCCUCCAGGGGAGCCUCCUAACCCAGGGAUCGAACACAGGUCUCCCGCAUUGCAGGUGGAUUCUUUACCGUCUGAGUCACCAGGGAAGCCCAAGAAUACUGGAAUGGGUAGCCUAUCCCUUCUCCAGGGGAUCUUCCCUACGCAGGAAUCAAACCCAGGUGUCUCUAAUGAGAAAGCCUGCACUUCUUCAGGGAGGAAAUAUGAGCAGGAGUCCAAGCCAGGAAGAUUCUCUCAAGUCUCAGGCUCAGCUACUAAUGAAUAUUGACAGGGAAAAAAAGAGAAAUCUCAUGUUUCCUUGAUUCUAAGACACACCACCCAUUUAAUUGAAAGU